UACGAAGGGGGCUAGCGUUGCUCGGAAUUACUGGGCGUAAAGGGAGCGUAGGCGGACAUUUAAGUCAGGGGUGAAAUCCCGGGGCUCAACCUCGGAAUUGCCUUUGAUACUGGGUGUCUUGAGUGUGAGAGAGGUAUGUGGAACUCCGAGUGUAGAGGUGAAAUUCGUAGAUAUUCGGAAGAACACCAGUGGCGAAGGCGACAUACUGGCUCAUUACUGACGCUGAGGCU
rnacentral:rRNA from 1 species